GCUAGGAUGAACGCUAGCGGCAGGCUUAACACAUGCAAGUCGAGGGGCAGCAGGGAGUAGCAAUACUCUGCUGGCGACCGGCGCACGGGUGCGUAACGCGUAUGCAACCAACCUGUAACAGGGGGAUAAAUCAGGGAAACUUGACCUAAUACCCCGUAUUGCCAUUCUUUCGCAUGUUGGGAUGGCGAAAGCCCUCGGGCGGUUACGGACGGGCAUGCGUGACAUUAGGUAGUUGGCGGGGCAACGGCCCACCAAGCCGACGAUGUCUAGGGGAGCUGAGAGGCUUAUCCCCCACACUGGUACUGAGACACGGACCAGACUCCUACGGGAGGCAGCAGUGAGGAAUAUUGGUCAAUGGAGGGAACUCUGAACCAGCCAUGCCGCGUGAAGGGGAUGAAGGCCCUAUGGGUUGUAAACCUCUUUUGCCCCGGGGCAAUAAGGGCGGUGCGCCGUCCGAUGAGAGUACGGGGCGAAUAAGCAUCGGCUAACUCCGUGCCAGCAGCAGC
rnacentral:rRNA from 1 species